rnacentral:rRNA from 1 species
GGUCAAGUGACUAAGAGCAUGUGGUGGAUGCCUUGGCAAUGAUAGGCGACGAAGGACGUGAAAGCCUGCGAUAAGCUUCGGGGAGCUGGCAAAUAAGCUUUGAUCCGGAGAUUUCCGAAUGGGGAAACCCACCUGCAAAGGUAUCGCAUACUGAAUACAUAGGUAUGCGAGGCGAACCGGGUGAACUGAAACAUCUCAGUAGCUCGAGGAAAAGACAUCAACCGAGAUUCCGAAAGUAGUGGCGAGCGAAAUCGGAGAAGCCUGUUAGUGAUAGCACGACUCUUAGCAAAACGGUCUGGAAAGGCUGGCCAUAGCAGGUGAUAGCCCUGUAUGCGAAAAGAGACGUGUGGUACUGAGCUAACGACAAGUAGGGCGGGACACGUGUAAUCCUGUCUGAAUAUGGGGGGACCAUCCUCCAAGGCUAAAUACUCAUCAUUGACCGAUAGUGAACUAGUACCGUGAGGGAAAGGCGAAAAGAACCCCGGGAGGGGAGUGAAAUAGAUCCUGAAACCGCAUGCUUACAAAAAGUCGGAGCCCGCAAGGGUGACGGCGUACCUUUUGUAUAAUGGGUCAGCGACUUACAUUCAGUGGCAAGGUUAACCGAAUAGGGAAGCCGUAGAGAAAUCGAGUCCGAAUAGGGCGUUCAGUCGCUGGGUGUAGACCCGAAACCAAGUGAUCUAUCCAUGGCCAGGAUGAAGGUGCCGUAACAGGUACUGGAGGUCCGAACCGACUAGUGUUGCAAAACUAGCGGAUGAGCUGUGGAUAGGGGUGAAAGGCUAAACAAACUUGGAAAUAGCUGGUUCUCUCCGAAAACUAUUUAGGUAGUGCCUCAAGUAUUACCGUCGGGGGUAGAGCACUGUUUAGGCUAGGGGGUCAUGGCGACUUACCAAACCUAUGCAAACUCCGAAUACCGACGAGUACAGCUUGGGAGACAGAGCACCGGGUGCUAACGUCCGGACUCAAGAGGGAAACAACCCAGACCGCCAGCUAAGGUCCCUAAAAUUGGCUAAGUGGGAAACGAAGUGGGAAGGCUAAAACAGUCAGGAUGUUGGCUUAGAAGCAGCCAUCAUUUAAAGAAAGCGUAAUAGCUCACUGAUCGAGUCGUCCUGCGCGGAAGAUGUAACGGGGCUAAGCCAGUUACCGAAGCUGCGGAUGCACAGCAAUGUGCGUGGUAGGAGAGCGUUCUGUAAGCCUGUGAAGGUGGCUUGUAAAGGCUGCUGGAGGUAUCAGAAGUGCGAAUGCUGACAUGAGUAGCGUUAAAGGGGGUGAAAAGCCCCCUCGCCGUAAGCGCAAGGUUUUCUACGCAACGUUCAUCGGCGUAGAGUGAGUCGGCCCCUAAGGCGAGGCAGAGAUGCGUAGCUGAUGGGAAACAGGUCAAUAUUCCUGUACCGAUCAAUAGUGCGAUGUGGGGACGGAGAAGGUUAGCUCAGCCAACUGUUGGAUAUGUUGGUUCAAGCCUGUAGUCGUGCCUGGUAGGCAAAUCCGCCGGGCUUAGAUGAGGGGUGAUAACGAGGCAGCUUGCUGCCGAAGUGAGUGAUACCCUGCUUCCAGGAAAAGCCACUAAGCUUCAGCUAUUGACGACCGUACCGCAAACCGACACUGGUGCGCGAGAUGAGUAUUCUAAGGCGCUUGAGAGAACUCAGGAGAAGGAACUCGGCAAAUUGACACCGUAACUUCGGGAGAAGGUGUGCCCUCAGUAGGUGAACCUGUACAAGGGGAGCCCAAAGGGGUUGCAAAGAAUCGGUGGCUGCGACUGUUUAUUAAAAACACAGCACUCUGCAAACACGAAAGUGGACGUAUAGGGUGUGACGCCUGCCCGGUGCUGGAAGAUUAAAUGAUGGGGUGCGAGCUCUUGAUUGAAGUCCCAGUAAACGGCGGCCGUAACUAUAACGGUCCUAAGGUAGCGAAAUUCCUUGUCGGGUAAGUUCCGACCUGCACGAAUGGCGUAACGAUGGCCACACUGUCUCCUCCUGAGACUCAGCGAAGUUGAAAUGUUUGUGAUGAUGCAAUCUCCCCGCGGAAAGACGGAAAGACCCCAUGAACCUUUACUGUAGCUUUGUAUUGGACUUUGAACAGAUCUGUGUAGGAUAGGUGGGAGGCUUUGAAGUGCGGACGCUAGUUCGCAUGGAGCCGACGUUGAAAUACCACCCUGGUGUGUUUGAGGUUCUAACCUGGAUCCCUGAUCGGGAUUGGGGACAGUGCAUGGUAGGCAGUUUGACUGGGGCGGUCUCCUCCCAAAGCGUAACGGAGGAGUUCGAAGGUACGCUAGUUACGGUCGGACAUCGUGACGAUAGUGCAAUGGCAUAAGCGUGCUUAACUGCGAGACUGACAAGUCGAGCAGAUGCGAAAGCAGGACAUAGUGAUCCGGUGGUUCUGUAUGGAAGGGCCAUCGCUCAACGGAUAAAAGGUACUCUGGGGAUAACAGGCUGAUACCGCCCAAGAGUUCAUAUCGACGGCGGUGUUUGGCACCUCGAUGUCGGCUCAUCUCAUCCUGGGGCU